AAUCCCUGGCACUGGGCAAAGAGAUACCUUGUUGUUGGUAUUGUUCUUAGAUCAGUCAGGGGCAGAGCAGUUGGCAGUCCUCGUUCCUCCUAGCUUGGGGUAGAGCAUGAUUCCAAAGCUAUGCCUAGGACAUCCAA